rnacentral:rRNA from 1 species
UACAGAGGUCUCAAGCGUUGUUCGGAUUCAUUGGGCGUAAAGGGUGCGUAGGCGGCGCGGUAAGUCGGGUGUGAAAUCUCGGAGCUUAACUCCGAAACUGCAUUCGAUACUGCCGUGCUUGAGGACUGGAGAGGAGACUGGAAUUUACGGUGUAGCGGUGAAAUGCGUAGAUAUCGUAAGGAAGACCAGUGGCGAAGGCGGGUCUCUGGACAGUACCUGACGCUGAGGCACGAAGGUCAGGGGAUCAAACGGG